rnacentral:lncRNA from 1 species
AACUUUCCCUUCAUCGCGAAGGUCGUGGAUUCAACUCCCACCAAAGGAGGAGGGCUCGUAGCCUUUUUGGACUAUCGUGUGGUCACGCCAACGCCGGAGUUUCCGCCUCAUGAGCCAUAUAAUCAU